AGGAAAAGAAAAUAACAAUGAUUUCCCUAGUAACGGCGAGUGAACAGGAAAAAGCUCAAAGUUGGAACCUGUUUGGCCUAGCUAAACCGGAUUGUAAACUGUAGAAGUGUUUUCCAGGCAAGCCGGACCGAUAAGUCCUUUGGAACAGGGCAUCAUAGAGGGUGAGAAUCCCGUCUUCGGUCUGAGCAUUUGCCUUUUGCGAUACACUUUCAAAGAGUCAGGUUGUUUGGGAAUGCAGCCUAAAUUGGGUGGUAAAUCUCACCUAAAGCUAAAUAUUGGCGAGAAACCGAUAGCGAACAAGUACCGUGAGGGAAAGAUGAAAAGAACUUUGAAAAGAGAGUUAAACAGUAUGUGAAAUUGUUAAAAGGGAACCGUUUGGAGCCAGACUGGCUUGUCUGUAAUCAGUCUAAGUUUCGGCUUGGAUGCACUUGCAGGCUAUGCCUGCCAACGACAAUUUGGCUUGAGGGAAAAAACUAGGGGAAAUGUGGCCCAUUCGUGGGUGUUAUAGUCCCUUAGAAAAUACCUUGGGCUGGAUUGAGGUACGCAGCGAAUGCUAUUUGGCGAGUUGGCUGGGAAUAUUUUCUGAGGUGCUCCGGUACUGAGGUUGAUAUUUCCAGUUACACUUCUAUUCGCUUAGGUUGUUGGCUUAAUGACUCUAAAUGACC
rnacentral:rRNA from 1 species